GAUGAAGAACGUAGCGAAAUGCGAUAAGUAGUGUGAAUUGCAGAAUUCAGUGAAUCAUCGAAUCUUUGAACGCACAUUGCGCCCGCCAGUAUUCUGGCGGGCAUGCCUGUUCGAGCGUCAUCUCAACCCUCAAGACCCCUUCGGGGGACUUGGUGUUGGGGACCGGCACAGGGGCCUGCCUGCUUGUCUUGCAGCGCCCUCGCCGCCCCCGAAAUGAAUUGGCGGCCUCGUCGCGGCCUCCCCUGCGUAGUAGCACAACCUCGCAACGGGAACGUGACGGCGGCCACUGCCGUAAAACAACCCCAAUUUUAUUAGUGUUGACCUCGAAUCAGGUAGGAAUACCCGCUGAACUUAAGCAUAUCAAUAAGCGGAGGA
rnacentral:misc_RNA from 1 species